ACAGGAACCGCUAUAGCCAUUUUGCUAUCAGCUGGAAAUGUCAGAAUGAAGAUGUUGAAAGAACCCAAGUCCGUGAUGUCAACCAACCCCUCCUCCAUGUUUUUUGCCCUUCCUCUAUACUUCCUAUUGUUACUGACCACAGACACAGAUUCUUCACCUGCCACACAAGAGAGAGACCACAAUAAAAACUGGAAUGCCAGGCUUAUGGCAAGAGAAGAGUUUCCUCCAAAGGCAGCCAGAAGAGGAAACGGGAGGUAGAACUCAAAUCUACCCCCUCGAAGGGAAAAAGCUGAAGACAAAAGAAGAUGUUUAGCGGGGAGAAUCAGGGACCUCAAAGAGAAGGAAGGCAAUUCACAGGACACUCUAUGAUGUUCGCACAAUGACGGGACCACCUAACGACAUUUUCAGAACGUAUCCCCAUCAUUGAGCAGCGCAUGACUAUACUCC
rnacentral:lncRNA from 1 species